rnacentral:miRNA from 1 species
CCACCGACCGUUGAGUGUACC